AUCCUUUUGUAGUUCAUAAGCGUGACGAUUGGUCUUCACCCUCAUGUUUGAGAUGCGCCUCCCUCAAACCUUGUUUGACCUCGGCACAUUGCCAGUUUGAUG